UACGGGGGGGGCAAGCGUUGUUCGGAAUUACUGGGCGUAAAGGGCUUGUAGGUGGCCAACUAAGUCAGACGUGAAAUCCCUCGGCUUAACCGGGGAACUGCGUCUGAUACUGGAUGGCUUGAGUUUGGGAGAGGGAUGCGGAAUUCCAGGUGUAGCGGUGAAAUGCGUAGAUAUCUGGAGGAACACCGGUGGCGAAGGCGGCAUCCUGGACCAACACUGACGCUGAGUGAGCGAAAGCCAGGGAGCAAACGGG
rnacentral:rRNA from 1 species